GAUGAACGCUGGCGGCGUGCCUAAUACAUGCAAGUCGAGCGAACAGACGAGGAGCUUGCUCCUCUGACGUUAGCGGCGGACGGGUGAGUAACACGUGGAUAACCUACCUAUAAGACUGGGAUAACUUCGGGAAACCGGAGCUAAUACCGGAUAAUAUAUUGAACCGCAUGGUUCAAUAGUGAAAGACGGUUUUGCUGUCACUUAUAGAUGGAUCCGCGCCGCAUUAGCUAGUUGGUAAGGUAACGGCUUACCAAGGCAACGAUGCGUAGCCGACCUGAGAGGGUGAUCGGCCACACUGGAACUGAGACACGGUCCAGACUCCUACGGGAGGCAGCAGUAGGGAAUCUUCCGCAAUGGGCGAAAGCCUGACGGAGCAACGCCGCGUGAGUGAUGAAGGUCUUCGGAUCGUAAAACUCUUUUGUUAGGAAAGAACAAAUGUAUGAGUAACUAUGCACGUCUUGACGGUACCUAAUCAGUAAGCCCCGGCUAACUUCGUG
rnacentral:rRNA from 1 species